rnacentral:rRNA from 1 species
AUUGAACGCUGGCGGCAGGCCUAACACAUGCAAGUCGAGCGGAUGAAGGGAGCUUGCUCCUGGAUUCAGCGGCGGACGGGUGAGUAAUGCCUAGGAAUCUGUCUGGUAGUGGGGGAUAACGUCCGGAAACGGGCGCUAAUACCGCAUACGUCCUGAGGGAGAAAGUGGGGGAUCUUCGGACCUCACGCUAUCAGAUGAGCCUAGGUCGGAUUAGCUAGUUGGUGGGGUAAAGGCCUACCAAGGCGACGAUCCGUAACUGGUCUGAGAGGAUGAUCAGUCACACUGGAACUGAGACACGGUCCAGACUCCUACGGGAGGCAGCAGUGGGGAAUAUUGGACAAUGGGCGAAAGCCUGAUCCAGCCAUGCCGCGUGUGUGAAGAAGGUCUUCGGAUUGUAAAGCACUUUAAGUUGGGAGGAAGGGCAGUAAGUUAAUACCUUGCUGUUUUGACGUUACCAACAGAAUAAGCACCGGCUAACUUCGU